AUGCUGUCCUUUAAAUAUUUAUGCUUUUUAGCUCUUAUUUUUGUGCAUUUUGCUUCUUGGAUUUUGUGUAAGAUCUAGACAUCAAAGAUAUAAUAAUGUCUGCUGUUUAAUUUGAUUGGUGAAGGUUAAUUGAUUAUAAUCUAGUUUAUUGAUUACAUGGAUUGGCAUGUUAAGUCUUUUAUCUUUUUCUUGAAUACUAUAUUUGUGCAUUGGACUUGGCUUUAGGCAUUUUGUGAUGAUAGAAUGCUGCCUAUGUAACUUAUUUCCUUUCUAAAACUACGUACAUGUGGUUAAGAAUAUUUUUAUCCAAACCUUCACUGGUUGGCAAGUCAAGCUGUUUAGCAAUAAACAACAAAUCUUGUAGUGAAUUUGUAAAUAAUACAAAGUUAUUGAUUGUUUAAAUAAACAAAAGCAAAGCUUGACUGAAUUUAGGUGCUAUUUGUUUUGCAAAAUAUAAAAGACUUGUUCACUUGUGGAAAACUGGAAUAGUUUUCUAGAGAAGUUUUUUAAGAAAAUUGGAAACAAAGUUUUGUGUUUACAGG
rnacentral:misc_RNA from 1 species